UUGUCUCAAAGAUUAAGCCAUGCAUGUCUCAGUACAAGCCACAUUAAGGUGAAACCGCGAAAGGCUCAUUAAAUCAGUUAUGGUUCCUUAGAUCGUACCCACAUUUACUUGGAUAACUGUGGUAAUUCUAGAGCUAAUACAUGCAAACAGAGCUCCGACCGGAGACGGAAGGAGCGCUUUUAUUAGAUCAAAACCAAUCGGUGGCGGGUUCGCUCGUCAUCGUAUAACUUGGUGACUCUGAAUAACUUUAAGCUGAUCGCACGGUCUCGCACCGGCGACGCAUCUUUCAAAUGUCUGCCUUAUCAACUGUCGAUGGUAGGUUCUGCGCCUACCAUGGUCGUAACGGGUAACGGGGAAUCAGGGUUCGAUUCCGGAGAGGGAGCCUGAGAAACGGCUACCACAUCCAAGGAAGGCAGCAGGCGCGCAAAUUACCCACUCCCGGCACGGGGAGGUAGUGACGAAAAAUAACGAUACGGGACUCAUCCGAGGCCCCGUAAUCGGAAUGAGUACACUCUAAACCCUUUAACGAGGAUCAAUUGGAGGGCAAGUCUGGUGCCAGCAGCCGCGGUAAUUCCAGCUCCAAUAGCGUAUAUUAAAGUUGUUGCGGUUAAAAAGCUCGUAGUCGAAUUUGUGUCUCACGCCGCCGGUUCAUCGUCCGCGGUGUCAACUGGCGUGUCGCGAGACGUCCUGCCGGUGGGCUGAGCCUUUCGGGGCGACGCCCAACUCAAUCCCGCCGCGGUGCUCUUCACUGAGUGUCGAGGUGGGCCGGCACGUUUACUUUGAACAAAUUAGAGUGCUUAAAGCAGGCUAAAAUUUCGCCUGAAUACUGUGUGCAUGGAAUAAUGGAAUAGGACCUCGGUUCUAUUUUGUUGGUUUUCGGAACCCCGAGGUAAUGAUUAAUAGGAACGGAUGGGGGCAUUCGUAUUGCGAAAACGUUAGAGGUGAAAUUUCUUGGACCGUCGCAAGACGGACAGAAGCGAAAGCAUUUGCCAAAAACGCUUUCAUUGAUCAAGAACGAAAGUUAGAGGUUCGAAGGCGAUCAGAUACCGCCCUAGUUCUAACCAUAAACGAUGCCAGCUAGCGAUCCGCCGACGUUCCUCCGAUGACUCGGCGGGCAGCUUCCGGGAAACCAAAGCUUUUGGGUUCCGGGGGAAGUAUGGUUGCAAAGCUGAAACUUAAAGGAAUUGACGGAAGGGCACCACCAGGAGUGGAGCCUGCGGCUUAAUUUGACUCAACACGGGAAAUCUCACCAGGCCCGGACACCGGAAGGAUUGACAGAUUGAGAGCUCUUUCUUGAUUCGGUGGGUGGUGGUGCAUGGCCGUUCUUAG
rnacentral:rRNA from 1 species